CCUAGUGAUCCAGGCAUUCAGCCCCUACCACCAAGAGAGAGGAAAGCCUGGCUACUGCUCCAACUGGCAGCAGAGCUUGGCACCAUCCAUGUGGUGCUGGUUUUGGCCGUCAUGAAUGGCUGCCCCUCAGCCAUGCCACCCUGCCUUGGAGCCAGCUGAGAAUGGACUGAAACCUCCAGAAAACUGGUGGCAUUGGAGAAGGCAGCUCCUGUCACAAGCUCAAGGAGAAGGAAGACCAGGCCCAGUACAGCUGUCCUGUGCUUUUGGGGAGACCUGGGCCGCAGACUCCAUCGCUGCAGCCACCUUGUGAGAUCAGUGAUUCUUCAGACUUGAAGCACCCCAUGCAGUUGGCCAGGGGCCUUUCCACAUGGCCUCCCCCUUCUAAG